UUACUGGGCGUAAAGCGCACGCAGGCGGUCUGUCAAGUNNGAUGUGAAAUCCCCGGGCUCAACCUGGGAANUGCAUUCGAAACUGGCAGGCUAGAGUCUUGUAGAGGGGGGUAGAAUUCCAGGUGUAGCGGUGAAAUGCGUAGAGAUCUGGAGGAAUACCGGUGGCGAAGGCGGCCCCCUGGACAAAGACUGACGCUCAGGUGCGAAAGCGUGGGGAGCAAACAGG
rnacentral:rRNA from 1 species